AUUGAACGCUGGCGGCAUGCUUUACACAUGCAAGUCGAACGGUAGAGGGGCAACCCUUGAGAGUGGCGAACGGGUGAGUAAUGCAUCGGAACGUGCCCAGUAGUGGGGGAUAGCCCGGCGAAAGCCGGAUUAAUACCGCAUACGACCUGAGGGUGAAAGCGGGGGAUCGCAAGACCUCGCGCUAUUGGAGCGGCCGAUGUCAGAUUAGGUAGUUGGUGGGGUAAAGGCCUACCAAGCCGACGAUCUGUAGCUGGUCUGAGAGGACGACCAGCCACACUGGGACUGAGACACGGCCCAGACUCCUACGGGAGGCAGCAGUGGGGAAUUUUGGACAAUGGGCGCAAGCCUGAUCCAGCCAUGCCGCGUGCGGGAAGAAGGCCUUCGGGUUGUAAACCGCUUUUGUCAGGGAAGAAAUCUUCUGGGCUAAUACCCCGGGAGGAUGACGGUACCUGAAGAAUAAGCACCGGCUAACUACGUGCCAGCCGCCGCCGUAAUAC
rnacentral:rRNA from 1 species